UCUGCUAUGUUGUAGGAGAUAGACCUUUCGGUUGGGCAAUAGUCAGGGGUGGGGGUGUUGGCACUGGUUUGUUUAGUUUUGGCCUAUGGCUACGGUUAAACCCAGGAUGGCUCAGAAGAGUUCAGUAAACUCAGCCCUAGUCAAGUGAUCCGGGGCUUCAGGUCUUUCGAUACGCUCUAAAGAAGGCCUUCCUCGCGUCAU
rnacentral:lncRNA from 1 species